rnacentral:lncRNA from 1 species
AUGUGAUCUUCAGAUUCAAUGAACUGCCUCUAAUUAUACAAACCUCACAUGCUAAAUUACUUCAAUUUUGAUCCCACCACUACCACCCAUUCCUCUGACACUAAAUUAGUGUAUAUAUAUAUACAUUGAACUUCCUAACAGAAUCUUCUCCUCUUAAGUACUAUAUAUCAGCAGUUUCUUUCUCUGACCAUCUUCAAAUCUCUCUGUCUCUAGCACUCUCAAUAUGGAAAUGAUGGUGCCGAGUUUUACACUGGAGGUCUGCCUGUCUUUUGCAAUAUGUGUAUUUGUAUGUUUGUAUCUUCUUUUGCUGGUUCUUGAAUCUCCCUGGAGUAAUUAUAAUACUUUCUCUCGGUUGCCUCAAGAUUGUUGUUUUCCUUCACUUACAGAAAGAACAGCGUCAUCAUCGUUAUCAGUUCUUGAAUGUACUUGAUUAGCAGACCUGUAAUGAAUACAUUGAGAGGGACGAACGAAAGAAAGAAAGAAAGAAAGAAAGAAGAGAUCAGGGGAAACUAAACUUGAAGCAGUUUUUAUCAAUCCAUUUUUCUUUCAGAUCUUUUAAUAUAUAUUAGGAGUAUAUAACAGAUAAUGUUUUUUCAUGUAGUUCUGCAAAAUCUAGGCAUAAUUUAACUGUAAUCAUAUUAGCUUGUUUCUAUAAUCUAUUGCUAACUUAUGAAUCAAUUUCUUGAUUAUAAAGGUUUCUCAAUUUCAGGGGAUUGUUUAUUUCUUUCUCUCUCAAUUCACAUAACAAGUGACUCUGUUCUCUUUCUUUCUUUUGGUUCUUUUGGAUCUUUUG